AUGGCAAGCAACAGCAGCAUCCCAGCCACUACCUUGAGCGAGAUCCGUGUUGCUCAGCGUGCGGACGGGCCGGCGGCGGUGCUCGCCAUCGGCACGGCGAACCCGCCCCACUGCGUGCCUCAGGAAGACUACCCCGACUACUACUUCAGCGUCACCAAGAGCGACCACCUCACCGACCUCAAGCGCACCUUCGCCAAACUAUGCGGGAUGACGGGCAUCAACAGGCGUUUCUUCCACCACACGGACAAACUGCUCGCCACGCACCCGGACUUGUCCCUCGACUCCCGGCUGGAUGUCGUGGCUACCGCCUCCCCCGAGCUCGCUGCGUCGGCUGCCGCGAACGCCAUCGCCGAGUGGGGCCGUCCGGCGAGCGACAUCACCCAUCUCGUCGUCAGCACCAACGCGGGGUCACAUGCGCCGGGGGCCGACGUCCGCUUGGUCACACUCCUCGGCCUCCGCCAUGAUGUCAUGCGCACUAUGCUCCAGCUCAACGGCUGCGCUUCCGGAUGCGCCGCCCUACGCAUAGCCAAAGACCUCGCCGAGAACAACCGCGGCGCGCGCGUCCUCGUGGCCUGCGUCGAGCUCACUAUCACCGCCUUCCGCGGGCCCGACGAGGCGGACUCCUUCGACACCCUCAUCCCCCAGGGACUCUUCGGUGACGGUGCAGGUGCCGUCAUCGUGGGUGCUGAACCCUACGUCCACGAGCGCCCGCUGUUUGAGAUGGUGUCAGCCUCCCAGUACAUGAUACCAGACACCGAGCACAUGCUCACCAUGCAGCUCAGCAGCGGUGGCAUCGGCGGGACCAUUGCCACCGGACUGCCAAGACUGGCGGCGGGCAUCGUUGAGCAGUGCUUGUUGGAUGCGUUUGGCGACCGCCUAGCCGGCAUCGAAGGUGUCGUCGAAUGGAACAGCCUCUUCUGGGCCGUGCAUCCCGGCAGCAGUGCGAUGUUGGACCACAUCGUCAGGGCACUCCGGCUUGCUCCUGGGAAGCUGGCGGCGAGCAGAACCGUGGUGAGAGAGUACGGGAACAUGCUGGGCGCCACGGUGAUCUUCGUGCUCGAUGAGGUCAGGCGCCAAAGAGAAGAUCCUGAAGGAGAGGGAGCUGGCCAUGAUGAAGGCUGGGGGGUGAUGAUGGGAUUUGGACCGGGGUUCACUGUGGAGACGAUGCUGCUGCGUGCCGCUACCUAG
rnacentral:rRNA from 1 species